rnacentral:pre_miRNA from 1 species
CCCUUAACUAUUAAAAGUUUCUUUUUGGUCCUUUAACUUACUUUUUGGUUUCGCUUUGGUCCCUUAACUCUUCCUCCGUCAACCACUUUGGUCCUUUAUGUUAUGAUGAAUGUAUUAGAGUUAAGGGACCAAAAUGAAACAAAAAAAUAAGUUAAGGGACCAAAACGAAACUUUUAAUAGUUAAGGGACCAAAAGAAAACCCAAAAAUAAGUUAUGGGAUCGAAACGAAACUUUUAAUAGUUAAGGAA